CUUAGUGGCGGACGGGUGAGUAACGCGUGGGUAACCUGCCUUGCACUGGGGGAUAACACUUAGAAAUAGGUGCUAAUACCGCAUAAGCGCACGGUCCCGCAUGGGACAGUGUGAAAAACUCCGGUGGUGCAAGAUGGACCCGCGUCUGAUUAGCUGGUUGGCGGGGUAAAGGCCCACCAAGGCGACGAUCAGUAGCCGGCCUGAGAGGGUGGACGGCCACAUUGGGACUGAGACACGGCCCAAACUCCUACGGAAGGCAGCAG
rnacentral:rRNA from 1 species